UACGGAGGGUGCAAGCGUUAUCCGGAUUCACUGGGUUUAAAGGGUGCGUAGGCGGGUAGGUAAGUCAGUGGUGAAAAUCUUCGAGCUUAACUCGGAAAACUGCCUUUGAUACUAUCUAUCUUGAAUAUUGUGGAGGUAAGCGGAAUAUGUCAUGUAGCGGUGAAAUGCUUAGAUAUGACAUAGAACACCUAUUGCGAAGGCAGCUUACUACGCAUAUAUUGACGCUGAGGCACGAAAGCGUGGGGAUCAAACAGG
rnacentral:rRNA from 1 species